rnacentral:tRNA from 1 species
GCGGGCGUAGCACAAUGGUAGUGCCUCAGUCUUCCAAACUGAUUACGCCGGAUCGAUACCGGUCGCCCGCUCCA